AGAUUUCCAAAAGUAGUGUGGAAACAAGAACAGCGCAAUAAAUGGAUAAUUGCCGUAAGGAGAAAAAAAUCCCGAUGGAUCUCUAUGGCACCCAAUUUGCAGUGCUCACUUUAUCGGUGGUAGAAAGGCUGAUGAACAAGUCAGUCCCAGUUAUGUUCCAAGGAUAUUUCCCCCGCAGUAAAAAACAAAACGGAUUGACGAAAAUGCGGCAAUAUCGAGGUUUCAACGUUAUAUGGAACGAAGAAACGCGAAAAAAAUAGAAGCAGUUAAUGCUAUUAAUACAACUAAGUAAUACAAGUGACUUUGAAUUGCUGGAAAACAGUGUCAAGAAUAUUCUGCUCGUAUGUUGAAGAAAUAGCAGCUGGUACAUCAAAUUAGGUUUUUUGGCCAGACAAAAAUGUUGUGCAGAAGACAAUGCCAGAAUGCUUCCGUCCGGAGUAUAGUAACACUAGUCAUUAUUGAUUGUACAGAGUUUCCUAUAGAAGUACCAUCAAGUGUUGAUAAUCGUGUGUUUUGCUACUCACUCUAUAAAAAGUGCUUAUUAGUAUUACUCCAGGAGGCUUCAUUUCGUUCAAGUCAAAAGUAAGUGGUGAAAGAAAAAGUGUCUCCCAAAUAACGGUAGUCAGGAUUAGUCGACUACUUAGAAAAUGGGGAUAUUGUAUUGGCUGAUAAGGGAUUUCCGGCAAUAAAGAAGGUAAUUGAUGAAAGUGGAAAAGAAAGUGCUAUUAUUAUGCCACAUUUUCUCCAGAAUAAAGGUGAAUUUACAAGGGAAGAGACCGAUGCAACUUAUAAAAUAGCUCGAGUCAGAAUUCAUGCCGAAAGAAUAAUGCAGCACUUAUAUAUACCUGUAAAUUUAUUUUAUCAUAUUGAUGAUAUAUUACAUGUUUGUUGUGUACUGGUAAACCUGCAACCACCUAUAUUUUCAAACAAAUAAAACAACAGUUAUUUUUUACAAUAUUUACAUUAUUUAAAAAGCUAUUAAAACAUUUUUAAUUUAAAUUUGUUUUUAUUUCACACAUAAAACCUGUAAAUGUUAUGUGACUUUUCAUGUCUGAAGGACCCUUAUGCACAUGGAGCAUAAGGAACCACAGACAUUGACCGCCACAUAUUUAUAACAUGGGCCUGUGGACCUAUGAAAAUGUGUCAGUCAGGUUAGGGUUUAAUAUGACCAAGCACUGGACUGAUCAACAUUUUCAUAAGUCUAAUGUACAGUUGAAUUGAAAGGCGAAUACAACAAACAUGGAACAAGUACUGGAGCCUAAAAGGUAUAUUUAAAAGUAACAUGCCAAUAGCCAUUAAAACUAAAGUCCUAAACUCAAGUGUCUUGCCAUGUAUGACAUACGGAAGCCAAACUUGGAAAUUCACGGCAAAAGCUCAAAGAAAAAUCAUUACAUGUCAACGGGCGCUAGAAAGAAGCAUGCUCAAUAUAAGAAAAAUAUAUAACAUAAGACACUCAAAAAUAAGAGAAAAAACAGGAGCAACAGAUGCCUUGAGCUAUGCAAAAAGACUAAAAUGGAAGUGGGCAGGCCACACAGCAAGGCUUACAGAUAAGAGAUGGACAUUAAUAGUCACCAAAUGGAGAGGUCCACUUGGCAAAAGAGGCCGGGGCAGACCACAAAUGCGUUGGGAGGAAGACUUAAAAAGAACAGCCGGCACAGAGUGGAUGGCGACAGCACAAGACAGGGACAAAUGGGCAGCAAUGGAGGAGGCCUUUACCCACUAGGGAUUCAUUAGUAACAACACAUAUUAUAAGUCAUAGUUUUAUUUUAAUUUUUUUUAUGUAAACACGUUACAAUGAAUAAAGGGCUUUUUUUAUUUUUA